GGAAGUCAGACCCUUCGGGAAAAAUGUAUAAAUGCUGUAAACUCUUGAGCAAGUGUUAAACAGAUCCCAGAAUUCGGGGGCUAUGUUAACUUUGUGUACCGUAAGAGAGAACUAGAGCAAAUGGGGGGCAGAACAUCAGGGGUUACACUACCACCGUCCUGAGAUUAAAUGAAGAUGAGUGUUUUGGGCUAACUUGCUAUUUCCAAAAAAGAAGACAACAUAGGAACAAAAAAAUGCAAACCGAAGACCUUUAAAGUGAGAAACUAAAUAACAGAUAACUGGUUUUAUUAUCUAUAGAAUACUUAGAAAGACAAGUAUUUGUAUAGACAAAGAAAUUUUUUGCAUUCUCCCUCUUUGAAAGAAUUGUUGUAAUUUUCACUCUCCUAAAAUCAGAACCCAGGACAAGGCCUUGGAUGCUGGCAGCUCAUCUGUGAACUGCCGAGCCGGAGACCAGAGUGAGCCGUCAGAGUUCAGUUAGCCUCAUGAGUUCCAGAAGGACAAAAUCUGCAAGUGGGAAGCAGGACCUGGUGGUGGGAGAGGCCUGUAGAGAAGAUGGAGUUUGUGGCCCUCAUGGAAUGAAGAAAAAGUAUUUGAGCAUUAGACCUCCCACUUUCAAUGGUUUGUACAAAGACUUCUAUUUCUAGAAGAAAAACAUCUAUCAUGUCCCGUUCAUCCCAAAGCACUGAGCAGUCCAGAGAGGACCAAACAAACGUGAUCCAUGAGGAACAGCGAUGAACAAGGUUGCAGGGGAGAAGCACACUCUGCUGGGGCAGAGCCUACACUCGUUGCCCUGAGGACCCUACCCUGUGUCAGGGUCCUCCCUGGGUCUUUCUUCAGCAAACCAAGCAUGAUUAAAGUGGGCUUUUAACAAUACUCAACUGCCUUUUUAUGUGAUCAGCUGUGUUUAUUUUUAUUGUUUUAAAACUUGAAUAUGUAUGCUUGAGUGCGUGUGUACACACUCACACACACACACACACAUACACACGCACGUGU
rnacentral:lncRNA from 1 species